UUCAACACCUGGCAGGAGGAAUACCACCAUCAAGUAGGUGGUUUCCCCAGGGUGAGGCUCUUCCAUUACACAUUUUGUUUGGGUUGACCCCUGUGAUUUCCCCAAAUGUGGGAAACUUAACUGCAUGAUUCUUGGACAGUAGAAGGUACCAGAUGUAUAUGUUUUCAUA